GUGCUUUGUGCCUUAGCAUGGCUUUUAUUUAUCCUUUCAACCUUGGUGUAUCUAAUCAUCUACAUCCAAAAAGACAGUAAGGUCCACUUUGAGCAGCUAUGAAGAGUGAUCUCUAAUAAAUAAAUUACUGUAAAAUAACAUAUAGAACUGCUCCUGUACCAAAAAAUAUUUUUUUACAAGAUGCAUAUACUGAUCAGGAAAAACACUUCUCAAUGAGGAAGGAAUUGAUUGAACUGGAAAUGUAUCUUUAUGAAUAAAAGUCUU